GGGGGGGGGAGACACACAUAGACCAAGAGUAGCAGCAUGUUAGUGUACAGCUUCCGGAAUUUGUAGUUUUCUGUCCAACAGAGGGUUGUAAAUAGGAACAAUGAGUUUCGACAGUUUUCUCAUAUCACUAUAACUAUAGUUUUCUAUACUACAUGUUGAAAUACUUCAUCAAAAAUCACAUUUCAUAUUUAUAUUUAUCCGGCGCAGCCUGUCGGGUUAAUACAAAGCAGGGUCAAAAUUGAUAUGUUCUAGUUCUGAAUACUUGUAUGCAUUAAACUUGCCACUGGACGUAAUUUAUUUGUGAAGUGCUAUUUGAAUCACAUGUGUUGAAAGAAAUUACCCAAAUGUCGUCCAUCUUUCCCGAAUAUUCCUUUGAUAUCUAAUGCCUCUCACUUUUUUUU
rnacentral:lncRNA from 1 species